UGGGUGGAUCAGUGGCGAACGGGUGAGUAACACGUGAGCAACCUGCCCCUGACUCUGGGAUAAGCGCUGGAAACGGCGUCUAAUACCGGAUACGAGACGUGACCGCAUGGUCGACGUUUGGAAAGAUUUUUCGGUCUGGGAUGGGCUCGCGGCCUAUCAGCUUGUUGGUGAGGUAAUGGCUCACCAAGGCGUCGACGGGUAGCCGGCCUGAGAGGGUGACCGGCCACACUGGGACUGAGACACGGCCCAGACUCCUACGGGAGGCAGCAGUGGGGAAUAUUGCACAAUGGGCGAAAGCCUGAUGCAGCAACGCCGCGUGAGGGACGACGGCCUUCGGGUUGUAAACCUCUUUUAGCAGGGAAGAAGCGAAAGUGACGGUACCUGCAGAAAAAGCGCCGGCUAACUACGUGCCAGCAGCCGCGGUAAUACGUAGGGCGCAAGCGUUAUCCGGAAUCAUUGGGCGUAAAGAGCUCGUAGGCGGUUUGUCGCGUCUGCUGUGAAAUCCCGAGGCUCAACCUCGGGCCUGCAGUGGGUACGGGCAGACUAGAGUGCGGUAGGGGAGAUUGGAAUUCCUGGUGUAGCGGUGGAAUGCGCAGAUAUCAGGAGGAACACCGAUGGCGAAGGCAGAUCUCUGGGCCGUAACUGACGCUGAGGAGCGAAAGGGUGGGGAGCAAACAGGCUUAGAUACCCUGGUAGUCCACCCCGUAAACGUUGGGAACUAGUUGUGGGGACCAUUCCACGGUUUCCGUGACGCAGCUAACGCAUUAAGUUCCCCGCCUGGGGAGUACGGCCGCAAGGCUAAAACUCAAAGGAAUUGACGGGGACCCGCACAAGCGGCGGAGCAUGCGGAUUAAUUCGAUGCAACGCGAAGAACCUUACCAAGGCUUGACAUAUACGAGAACGGGCCAGAAAUGGUCAACUCUUUGGACACUCGUAAACAGGUGGUGCAUGGUUGUCGUCAGCUCGUGUCGUGAGAUGUUGGGUUAAGUCCCGCAACGAGCGCAACCCUCGUUCUAUGUUGCCAGCACGUAAUGGUGGGAACUCAUGGGAUACUGCCGGGGUCAACUCGGAGGAAGGUGGGGAUGACGUCAAAUCAUCAUGCCCCUUAUGUCUUGGGCUUCACGCAUGCUACAAUGGCCGGUACAAAGGGCUGCAAUACCGUGAGGUGGAGCGAAUCCCAAAAAGCCGGUCCCAGUUCGGAUUGAGGUCUGCAACUCGACCUCAUGAAGUCGGAGUCGCUAGUAAUCGCAGAUCAGCAACGCUGCGGUGAAUACGUUCCCGGGUCUUGUACACACCGCCCGUCAAGUCAUGAAAGUCGGUAACACCUGAAGCCGGUGGCCUAA
rnacentral:rRNA from 1 species